AUGUCGUGAUAAGGGCACUUUUGUAAUAACUCCUUGAACUGCUCUCAUGCCUCAUAUAAAGAUUCUUCAUCAAGUUGUUGAAAUGAAGUGAUUUCAUUUCGGACCUU
rfam:Gossypium hirsutum cultivar TM-1 chromosome 15, whole genome shotgun sequence